UUUAUUUAACUUGUUAGAGAGAGCCUGGCUCCGGCAAAUCUUUGAAAUAGCAAUGCAAGAUGUUUUCAUUUUUCAAAUUUCUUUGAGAGUCCCAAUUGAUCAGAUAACACAAUCAUUCUUGUGCUUGUAUUGAGUUCAAAUGCCCUUGCAAAUUAGACAUCAUUGGGAAGAUUUUCUGCUGCCCUUUGUUUAAUUUAAAAAUUAUUAUGUAAACCACUCUCUGAUAUUCUAAUUCUUAUUAUCUCAUCAUCAACUUUUAUGUCAUCAUCAGGUGCAACAGAAAAAUUGACAAUAUUUCAAGAAAAUUUGGAGAUCUUUGUUGCAGUUCUUGUUUGGAUGUCUCUUUUCUUCUCGUCAUGCUUAUGGGAUGGACAAGAUAAGUUGUUUCAAUGUAACAAAAGACAUCAAAAGGCAAAGAAUAUUCUUGCCUUCCAGCUUCAACCACAUGACUUUCCAUCUGAUGGUGCAAUUUCAAGCCACAAUCAGAUGACCCCAGAAAUAGACUGACAGUUGUAGCCAAUCUCAUCAUUAUCACUAAUCACAGUAGCCAUGAGAAGAUAUUUUCAAUUUUGUUUGAUUCGGGUCGCAAAUGCAAUUCCUCCACACAAGAAAUUGUGGAAAUCAAAAGAUAUCAUUACAGAAUUAGGGAAAUAUCAUUUGUCGAUUUCUCCUCCCAAAGAUUCCUCCACUGUUCGGUUACAUUGCUGAGAAAGGUAAAUUUCAUCCUUCAAUACAUAUAAAAUA